rnacentral:tRNA from 1 species
UGCCGGAGUGGUGGAAUUGGCAGACACAAGGGACUUAAAAUCCCUCGGGGCAUAGCUUCGUACCGGUUCGAUUCCGGUCUCCGGCAU